GAUGAACGCUGGCGGCGUGCCUAAUACAUGCAAGUCGAGCGAACGGACGAGAAGCUUGCUUCUCUGAUGUUAGCGGCGGACGGGUGAGUAACACGUGGAUAACCUACCUAUAAGACUGGGAUAACUUCGGGAAACCGGAGCUAAUACCGGAUAAUAUUUUGAACCGCAUGGUUCAAAAGUGAAAGACGGUCUUGCUGUCACUUAUAGAUGGAUCCGCGCUGCAUUAGCUAGUUGGUAAGGUAACGGCUUACCAAGGCAACGAUGCAUAGCCGACCUGAGAGGGCGAUCGGCCACACUGGAACUGAGACACGGUCCAGACUCCUACGGGAGGCAGCAGUAGGGAAUCCUCCGCAAUGGGCGAAAGCCUGACGGAGCAACGCCGCGUGAGUGAUGAAGGUCUUCGGAUCGUAAAACUCUGUUAUUAGGGAAGAACAUAUGUGUAAGUAACUGUGCACAUCUUGACGGUACCUAAUCAGAAAGCCACGGCUAACUACGUGCCAGCAGCCGCGGUAAUACGUAGGUGGCAAGCGUUAUCCGGAAUUAUUGGGCGUAAAGCGCGCGUAGGCGGUUUUUUAAGUCUGAUGUGAAAGCCCACGGCUCAACCGUGGAGGGUCAUUGGAAACUGGAAAACUUGAGUGCAGAAGAGGAAAGUGGAAUUCCAUGUGUAGCGGUGAAAUGCGCAGAGAUAUGGAGGAACACCAGUGGCGAAGGCGACUUUCUGGUCUGUAACCGACGCUGAUGUGCGAAAGCGUGGGGAUCAAACAGGAUUAGAUACCCUGGUAGUCCACGCCGUAAACGAUGAGUGCUAAGUGUUAGGGGGUUUCCGCCCCUUAGUGCUGCAGCUAACGCAUUAAGCACUCCGCCUGGGGAGUACGACCGCAAGGUUGAAACUCAAAGGAAUUGACGGGGACCCGCACAAGCGGUGGAGCAUGUGGUUUAAUUCGAAGCAACGCGAAGAACCUUACCAAAUCUUGACAUCCUUUGACAACUCUAGAGAUAGAGCCUUCCCCUUCGGGGGACAAAGUGACAGGUGGUGCAUGGUUGUCGUCAGCUCGUGUCGUGAGAUGUUGGGUUAAGUCCCGCAACGAGCGCAACCCUUAAGCUUAGUUGCCAUCAUUAAGUUGGGCACUCUAAGUUGACUGCCGGUGACAAACCGGAGGAAGGUGGGGAUGACGUCAAAUCAUCAUGCCCCUUAUGAUUUGGGCUACACACGUGCUACAAUGGACAAUACAAAGGGCAGCGAAACCGCGAGGUCAAGCAAAUCCCAUAAAGUUGUUCUCAGUUCGGAUUGUAGUCUGCAACUCGACUACAUGAAGCUGGAAUCGCUAGUAAUCGUAGAUCAGCAUGCUACGGUGAAUACGUUCCCGGGUCU
rnacentral:rRNA from 1 species